rnacentral:rRNA from 1 species
UACGUAGGGUGCGAGCGUUGUCCGGAAUCACUGGGCGUAAAGCGCACGUAGGCGGAUUUUUAAGUCAGGGGUGAAAUCCUGGAGCUCAACUCCAGAACUGCCUUUGAUACUGGGAAUCUCGAGUCCGGGAGAGGUGAGUGGAACUGCGAGUGUAGAGGUGAAAUUCGUAGAUAUUCGCAAGAACACCAGUGGCGAAGGCGGCUCACUGGCCCGGUACUGACGCUGAGGUGCGAAAGCGUGGGGAGCAAACAGG